ensembl:snoRNA small nucleolar RNA, C/D box 2
GAGCGACAAGAUGCCAUACCAUCUUUUGGGAUUGACAGCAAUGGAGACCAACUUUUUAGUAUUACUGAUCAAUU